rnacentral:rRNA from 1 species
AGUGAACGCUGGCGGCAGGCCUAAUACAUGCAAGUCGAACGGCAGCACAGCAGAGCUUGCUCUGUGGGUGGCGAGUGGCGGACGGGUGAGGAAUACAUGGGAAUCUGCCCAAGUCGUGGGGGAUAACGUAUGGAAACGUACGCUAAUACCGCAUGCGCCCUACGGGGGAAACCGGGGACCGAAAGGCCUGGCGCGAUUGGAUGAGCCCAUGUUCGAUUAGCUAGUUGGCGGGGUAAAGGCCCACCAAGGCGACGAUCGAUAGCUGGUCUGAGAGGAUGAUCAGCCACACUGGAACUGAGACACGGUCCAGACUCCUACGGGAGGCAGCAGUAGGGGAAUAUUGGACAAUGGGGGCAACCCUGAUCCAGCCAUGCCGCGUGAGUGAAGAAGGCCCUCGGGUUGUAAAGCUCUUUUGUCCGGAAGAAAAGCAUUCGGUUAAUACCCGGGUGUUCUGACGGUACCGGAAGAAUAAGCACCGGCUAACUUCGUGCCAGCA